rnacentral:rRNA from 1 species
ACCUCCAAUCAGUCAAGAAUACCCGCUGAAUUUAAGCAUAUAACUAGGCGGAGGAAAAGAAACUAACCAGGAUUCCCUCAGUAAGGGCGACUGAAGCGGGAAGAGCUCAGGAUGUGAAUCUGCGCCUUGGUGCGCCGAAUUGUGGUCUGUCGACGGUGGCAUUACUGGCCGGGCCAAGUCCUUUGGAACAAGGCAGCUGAGAGGGUGAGACUCCCGUCCGCCUGGCUGGGUGAGCCACUAGUCUACGAGUCGAGUUGUUUGGGAUUGCAGCUCUAAGUGGGUGGUAAGUUUCAUCCAAAGCUAAAUACAGGCGAGAGACCGAUAGCGAACAAGUACCGUGAGGGAAAGAUGCAAAGAACUUUGAAAAGAGAGUUAAAUAGUA